rnacentral:rRNA from 1 species
GAUGAACGCUAGCGAUAGGCUUAACACAUGCAAGUCGAGGGGCAGCACAAGGUAGCUUGCUAUCUGGGUGGCGACCGGCGCACGGGUGCGUAACGCGUAUGCAACUUGCCCUAUACAGGAGGAUAACCCGUCGAAAGACGGACUAAUACUGCGUAUGCUCACAACUUGGCAUCAAGUGGUGAGGAAAGAAAUUCGGUAUAGGAUAGGCAUGCGUCCCAUUAGCUUGUUGGUGAGGUAACGGCUCACCAAGGCAACGAUGGGUAGGGGAACUGAGAGGUUUAUCCCCCACACUGGUACUGAGACACGGACCAGACUCCUACGGGAGGCAGCAGUGAGGAAUAUUGGUCAAUGGGCGCGAGCCUGAACCAGCCAAGUCGCGUGAAGGAUGACUGUCUUAUGGAUUGUAAACUUCUUUUAUACGGGAAUAACAAGAGUCACGUGUGACUCCCUGCAUGUACCGUAUGAAUAAGCAUGGGCUAACUCCGUG